CCAGACUCCUACGGGAGGCAGCAGUGGGGAAUAUUGCACAAUGGGGGAAACCCUGAUGCAGCAACGCCGCGUGAGUGAGGAAGUAUUUCGGUAUGUAAAGCUCUAUCAGCAGGGAAUAGAAAAGAAGGUACCUGAAAAAGAAGCCCCGGCUAACUACGUGCCAGCAGCCGCGGUAAUACGUAGGGGGCAAGCGUUAUCCGGAUUUACUGGGUGUAAAGGGAGCGUAGACGGCUGAGCAAGCCUGAAGUGAAAGGCGGGGGCCCAACCCCCGGACUGCUUUGGGAACUGUACGGCCGGAGUGCAGGAGAGGUAAGUGGAAUUCCUAGUGUAGCGGUGAAAUGCGUAGAUAUUAGGAGGAACACCAGUGGCGAAGGCGGCUUACUGGACUGUAACUGACGUUGAGGCUCGAAAGCGUGGGGAGCAAACAGGAUUAGAUACCCCGGUAG
rnacentral:rRNA from 1 species